UUGAUCCUGGCUCAGGACGAACGCUGGCGGCGUGCCUAAUACAUGCAAGUCGAACGAAACUUUCUUACACCGAAUGCUUGCAUUCAUCGUAAGAAGUUGAGUGGCGGACGGGUGAGUAACACGUGGGUAACCUGCCUAAAAGAAGGGGAUAACACUUGGAAACAGGUGCUAAUACCGUAUAUCUCUAAGGAUCGCAUGAUCCUUAGAUGAAAGAUGGUUCUGCUAUCGCUCUUAGAUGGACCCGCGGCGUAUUAACUAGUUGGUGGGGUAACGGCCUACCAAGGUGAUGAUACGUAGCCGAACUGAGAGGUUGAUCGGCCACAUUGGGACUGAGACACGGCCCAAACUCCUACGGGAGGCAGCAGUAGGGAAUCUUCCACAAUGGACGCAAGUCUGAUGGAGCAACGCCGCGUGAGUGAAGAAGGUCUUCGGAUCGUAAAACUCUGUUGUUAGAGAAGAACACGAGUGAGAGUAACUGUCAUUCGAUGACGGUAUCUAACCAGCAAGUCACGGCUAACUACGUGCCAGCAGCCGCGGUAAUACGUAGGUGGCAAGCGUUGUCCGGAUUUAUUGGGCGUAAAGGGAACGCAGGCGGUCUUUUAAGUCUGAUGUGAAAGCCUUCGGCUUAACCGGAGUAGUGCAUUGGAAACUGGAAGACUUGAGUGCAGAAGAGGAGAGUGGAACUCCAUGUGUAGCGGUGAAAUGCGUAGA
rnacentral:rRNA from 1 species